CCUACGGGAGGCAGCAGUGAGGAAUAUUGGUCAAUGGACGAGAGUCUGAACCAGCCAAGUAGCGUGAAGGAUGACUGCCCUAUGGGUUGUAAACUUCUUUUAUAUGGGAAUAAAACGUUCCACGUGUGGGAUUUUGUAUGUACCAUAUGAAUAAGGAUCGGCUAAAUCCGUGCCAGCAGCCGCGGUAAUACGGAGGAUCCGAGCGUUAUCCGGAUUUAUUGGGUUUAAAGGGAGCGUAGGUGGAUUGUUAAGUCAGUUGUGAAAGUUUGCGGCUCAACCGUAAAAUUGCAGUUGAAACUGGCAGUCUUGAGUACAGUAGAGGUGGGCGGAAUUCGGUGUGUAGCGGUGAAAUGCUUAGAUAUCACGAAGAACUCCGAUUGCGAAGGCAGUUCACUGGACUGCAACUGACACUGAGGCUCGAAAGUGUGGGUAUCAAACAGGAUUAGAUACCCCUGUAGUC
rnacentral:rRNA from 1 species